CCAAAACUUACGAAAUACCAUUGAAAAAUAAUAUAUUUGUACUUCAAUACAAGUUGUCGAAAUUAUAAUUCAAUAGAAUUGUGAGGCAUUAGUGAAAUUCUAAUUCCUAAAUUCAUUUUCUUUCCAGGCGAACCAUGGGUUUCAGUAAUACAUAAGGGCAUAAUGCAAAAAUAGAUUAAUAUACAAGGGCAUAAUGCAAAUAUAGAAUAUCCACAACGACUGCAAGUUCAGAACAUAAAAUUGGUAAUUAGUUCUUAUCUACACAAAAACGAAGCAUCUAAAAUGUUUCCAUGAUGCAACAUGUCAAGUAGGCCGCUUCCCUUUUGCAUUCACUUCCGUGGUUCUUGUUUCCAUCCGGAGAUGCUCACAUUCACCUUCAAUGAAAUCUGCAAUUCUUCUUCGUCACUUAUCCGAACACUAGAUCGAAACAUGCGCGACAUUUCUUCAUCUGUGUUGUCCAUCAUAGUGGUAGGGGUGGUAGUGUUGCCACGACUACAUUCAACUCUUGAUUCAAAAUUCACAAUUUCGACUACAGCAAAGUAAUAAUUUUCCUUUAUUAUCGUUAUCUUUCUCCUAAAACAUACGAUGCACAAAUUAGAUUUAAUGCCAAUAUUGAAACCAAGCACAAAGGCAACAAGGGAACCAAUACAGAAAAGAUGCCCAAAAUUAAGACCAGAACUCAUGAAAACGGAAAAUCCUAUAAGCUUUAAACAACUCAACUGAGUAGAUUGUUUCAUUCAAGAUACUAGGACUCACAGCAAUCAAUAACAAAUAUAGUGAAUCAAAUAACCAAUAUUUCCCUUUCAUUUUCUCAACUUCAAUACUGGAACUUGCAUAUAGUUACAUCAAAUACCUAAAACCCAGAAAAUGUGAUACAUUUAAAUUGUUGAAACUUUAGAGAUAUCAAAAUUGCCUCAAGAAACUCAAACUCUAAAUACCAGAUCUCUUAAUAUCCCAUUGCCAAACGUCAAAUCUUUUUUCAGAUUUAUUCAUCUAAAUUCCCCCAAGAAUUGCACAUUUAUUGUACGAAAUGCGAAAAGAUAUCUUUAAUUUGAAGUUGAAGGGAAACCCAUACCACAAAAUAACCCAAAAAUGCACAUGAAAUUUUGGGAAAUAUGCUGUGUGGAACAAGAAAUCGUUGGGAUGAAGAUAUAUUAAUAACAAGCCAAUUGGGUUUAAAAAAAAUGUUUCUUUUGAAAAAAAAAAAAAUUGCAGUUUCACGAACUCACAAACAGGUCGAUUUUAUAACGACCUUAUGAAAAUUGCAGUUUCAUGGAAGGAAGGGAUGACCGAGAAGAAGUUGAGGAUCGCGAUUUAAAUAUAUAUAACAAGCCGAUUUUAUGAACUGCACAUCAUGAAGAAAUAUUAAUAACAGGAGCUCGUUGAUUUUUUUAAAACUUAUUUUCAAACGGCGACCAGAGCUCGUCGAUCCUGCAUCGUCGACACUGUCGACGAAAGUGCAAUGCGGGGACACCAUCGAAUAUGCACAGUUGGAUUUGCAGAUUUCUAUGGGUUUUGAAGAGAGAGAAUAAAGCAACCUGGGAUAGAGAUGUUGGGGGAGAGUGGGUGAUGUUCAUUUCCCCUUUAAAAUGCG
rnacentral:lncRNA from 1 species